rnacentral:rRNA from 1 species
AGUGAACGCUGGCGGUAGGCCUAACACAUGCAAGUAGAACGGCAGCACAGUAAGAGCUUGCUCUUACGGGUGGCGAGUGGCGGACGGGUGAGGAAUACAUCGGAAUCUACUUUUUCGUGGGGGAUAACGUAGGGAAACUUACGCUAAUACCGCAUACGACCUACGGGUGAAAGCAGGGGAUCUUCGGACCUUGCGCGAUUGAAUGAGCCGAUGUCGGAUUAGCUAGUUGGCGGGGUAAAGGCCCACCAAGGCGACGAUCCGUAGCUGGUCUGAGAGGAUGAUCAGCCACACUGGAACUGAGACACGGUCCAGACGCCUACGGGAGGCAGCAGUGGGGAAUAUUGGACAAUGGGCGCAAGCCUGAUCCAGCCAUACCGCGUGGGUGAAGAAGGCCUUCGGGUUGUAAAGCCCUUUUGUUGGGAAAGAAAAGCAGCAGGUUAAUACCCCGCUGUUCUGACGGUACCCAAAGAAUAAGCACCGGCUAACUUCGUG